GAUGAACGCUGGCGGCGUGCUUAACACAUGCAAGUCGAACGGAAAGGCCCAAGCUUGCUUGGGUACUCGAGUGGCGAACGGGUGAGUAACACGUGGGUGAUCUGCCCUGCACUUCGGGAUAAGCCUGGGAAACUGGGUCUAAUACCGGAUAGGACGAUGGUUUGGAUGCCAUUGUGGAAAGUUUUUUCGGUGUGGGAUGAGCUCGCGGCCUAUCAGCUUGUUGGUGGGGUAAUGGCCUACCAAGGCGUCGACGGGUAGCCGGCCUGUGAGGGUGUACGGCGACAUUGGGACUGAGAUACGGCCCAGACUCCUACGGGAGGCAGCAGUGGGGAAUAUGGCACAAUGGGCGCAAGCCUGAUGCAGCGACGCCGCGUGGGGGAUGACGGCCUUCGGGUUGUAGACUCCUUUCGCUAGGGACGAAGCGUUUUUGUGACGGUACCUGGAGAAGAAGCACCGGCUAACUACGUG
rnacentral:rRNA from 1 species